CUGAUGGGUGGAGUCACUUCAAAACUUCCUUACCCCUCGAACUCACAAAGGACAAGGUGAAGACCGUCCGUAAUAGCACAGAUCGUUUGUGAUCAUCUUGCCCAGAAAAGAUGUCUUUCUUCAGAAAAUUCUACAAAAAUAUCGUCCAUGACAGAAACCCCGAUAAUGACACCAUUAAAGU